AAUUUUAUAAUAGAUUCCUUCGGGAUGAAAUUAUGACUUUUCUAGCGGCGGAUGGGUGAGUAACGCGUGAGAAACCUGCCUUUUACAAGGGGAUAGCCUCGAGAAAUCGGGAUUAAUACCCUAUGAUACUUUUUAGUCGCAUGACUGAAUAGUUAAAGCGUAAAGCGGUAAAAGAUGGUCUCGCGUCCCAUUAGUUAGUUGGUGAGAUAAAAGCUCACCAAGACUACGAUGGGUAGCCGGCCUGAGAGGGUGACCGGCCACACUGGAACUGAGACACGGUCCAGACUCC
rnacentral:rRNA from 1 species